AACGCGUCGGUCUUCGGAACCGAAGAUUGCAGGUUCGAAUCCUUCCGUGGUCG
rfam:Toxocara canis scaffold1713, whole genome shotgun sequence.